CGGGGCGUAGCGCAGCCCGGUAGCGCACUUGACUGGGGGUCAAGGGGUCGUGGGUUCAAAUCCCGCCGCCCCGA
rnacentral:tRNA from 2 species